CCCCCACAUUUUUCUCCUAAUUACAUGUAUUAUUGCUUUCGUUCAUUUUUAACUUUUGAUUUUUGGGAUCUACCCCCUUUUCUUUUAAGAAAAGAAUAUGUUUUGCUAAAAGCCCGAUUCCAUUCAAUGAGCCUACGACGUUUUCUUUCUCUGCUGUUUUCCAUAUGUAUUAUAUUUCGACAUUUCUUAGCAGUGUGUAGGUUAAUGAAUAAUGAAUAGUUACUCUGAAUAUCGUUAAUAGAAAGAAUGCCUUAAACCACAAGUCAAGUUCUUCUGGUUUCUUCUGGUUUAGUAUAUUUGCACUUGAUGGCGCAAUAGGACGCUUGCAUGUACAACCAACAGGUUCCCAGAAGGGGAAGCAUAUAUAGGAAAGACAAGAGAGCAAUGAUUGAGUGAGCGAUUUCCUUGGCAGCAUAUUCAUUGUGGUGGGGAUUUCGGAGUGGCCCUUCCUCUUGCUUAAUUUUCCUUACCUUUUGAAAGGAUUUGAGGCAUUGGGGUAUAUGAUAUUUUUUAUUGACUUCGAGGCAUAAAGAUACAGGAAGGGAAUCCUGUUCACACCUGUUCGAAGCCACCUUCAAGGCUAGUCUUCGUCUUCCCAUGCCUCACUAGGUGCGGGAUCUUCAAUGGCAAGGCUAUCCUUGAGUAGCUCCUGCCUCAUGAUGGAAGGACUUUGGUCCUUGCAUGGUGUGCUAUGGCCUGUUCGUUUAGGGCUCUUGACAAUUUGAUGGUAUGGCAAUUUCUAUAUUGUUAUAGGCCAACAGAACCCUAUACUGAUGGUCGUGGUUUGCUGCGUGGGAUGAUGCUCAAGCCUUUGUCUGGGUUGUCUUUCACCCUUCCUUGGGGUGUAGAUCUUGCUUUGUCCCAUGAGUCAAGGAGACGGACGAAUAGUUUGUAGCUUUGGAAAUACCAACACUGAGCAAGGAAGAGCUUGGCAGGGUUGGCUUCAUUCUUUGCAUUUUGAGGGAAGAUAUGUCUACCUUGGUGGUGGGUGAGAACCUCUAGAGGUUACUUCCUCCCGUCCAAUUCUUGGGCAGAAGAGGUAUGUGGUGAUCGGUUUCUUCAAUGCUGGGGAUGGUUAUCCUUCUAGUUAGACUAAUAUUUGCUUAUAUAAGGUCUGACCCUGAAGGCUAUGUACAAUCCACUUCAAGGGCAUAAAAGGUACAGGAGUAAGGGAGCUCUCCCAGGGCUCCUUUGGAGGGGGUGGCCUCAGUUAGAGGCAUUAAGGCCUCUGUAGGAGCAGGGCACCAUGGAUGGGAGAGAGUGAUGCUUGAGUGAGAUAUUUUGCUUGGUGUGUUACUGUGUUUUAAAUACUUGGUUGCUCGUGAGUCUGUGAGCCUAGUUGCUUAUAUUAGGGGUAGAACUCUACCUUUUCUGAGAGGAGAAUGGUUGAUCAUUAAGUUGUUUGUCAUGUCUUAAUUACUUUAAGACAGAAUUUAUUUAUGGCCUAGGCAACAGGUUUCGCAUUUUGCACUUUUUGUUUGCAUUAGUGGAGAAGCUCAGGGACAUUGGAAGAUGAACCUAGAUUCAUGUUAAAUGAUUCCUUGGGGACUGAUCACAUCCCUUCGUCUUUGGGAGGGAAUCCGAGAGGUCCAUAGCUGAACCAUCAUCAGGGCCCUCCUAGCACUAUCUUCAGUUGGGUUUGAAUUUAAUGAUGUUUUUUUUUUUUUUUUUUUUUUUUGGACAGAGGCUAGCCUGGACAAAAUUGGGUAUAUCAGAAUUCAUUGUAUUUUUAUAUGACCAUGCAUCCUCUGGAGGAUAUCCUUAUCUUCCUUAACUCAAGUGAAAAA